rnacentral:lncRNA from 1 species
GCAUAUCUCAAGACCCCUAUGCUGGCCCAAUGUUUUCAUCUUAUCAGGGCGCAGUCCUAUCCAAGGUACCUCUGGAGCCACCUUAUAAUCUUACUAUCAAAAGGGGGAAGGGGGGGUGGGACUUAGAAACCAAUCGAGCAACACCAAAGGCUUCGGGACUCCUGUGUGUAGCUAGUUAUUAAGACACUUAAGAACUCUCGUCCUGGGGCUGGUGAGAUGGCUCAGUGGGUAAGAGCACCCGACUGCUCUUCCGAAGGUCUAGAGUUCAAAUCCCAGCAACCACAUGGUGGCUCACAACCAUCUGUAAUGAGAUCUGACUCCCUCUUCUGGUGUGUCUGAAGACAGCUACAGUGUACUUACAUAUAAUAAAUAAAUAAAUCUUUAAAAAAAAAAAAAGAACUCUCGUCCUUGGAGAAGCCCACAGCCCAGCUCUCUGGUGUGUCUUACUCUUUCCCUGAGCACCUCUUAACCCCUGUAACUUAAAUUUAUAUUUAAAAUAUUUUAAAUAAACGUUUAACUCUCUGCUUU